rnacentral:rRNA from 1 species
UACAGAGGGUGCGAGCGUUAAUCGGAAUUACUGGGCGUAAAGGGCGCGUAGGUGGUUAAUUAAGUCAGAUGUGAAAUCCCUGGGCUUAACCUAGGAAUUGCAUAUGAUACUGAUUAGCUAGAGUACAGAAGAGGGAAGUGGAAUUUCCGGUGUAGCGGUGAAAUGCGUAGAUAUCGGAAGGAACAUCAGUGGCGAAGGCGACUUCCUGGUCUGUUACUGACACUGAGGCGCGAAAGCGUGGGGAGCGAACAGG